rnacentral:rRNA from 1 species
GCAGGCCUAACACAUGCAAGUCGAGGGGUAUCAGUUUCGGACUGGAGAGACCGGCGCACGGGUGCGUAACGCGUAUGCAAUCUACCUUUUACAGGGGAAUAGCCCAGAGAAAUUUGGAUUAAUGCCCCAUAGUAUAUAAACUUCGCAUGUUGUUUAUAUUAAAGUUCCAACGGUAAAAGAUGAGCAUGCGUCCCAUUAGUUAGUUGGUAAGGUAACGGCUUACCAAGACGAUGAUGGGUAGGGGUCCUGAGAGGGAGAUCCCCCACACUGGUACUGAGACACGGACCAGACUCCUACGGGAGGCAGCAGUGAGGAAUAUUGGACAAUGGGCGCAAGCCUGAUCCAGCCAUGCCGCGUGCAGGAAGAAGCAUCUAUGGUGUGUAAACUGCUUUUGUACAGGAAGAAACACUCCCUCGUGAGGGAGCUUGACGGUACUGUAAGAAUAAGGAUCGGCUAACUCCGUGCCAGCAGCCGCGGUAAUACGGAGGAUCCAAGCGUUAUCCGGAAUCAUUGGGUUUAAAGGGUCCGUAGGCGGUCUAAUAAGUCAGUGGUGAAAGCCCAUCGCUCAACGAUGGAACGGCCAUUGAUACUGUUAGACUUGAAUUACUGGGAAGUAACUAGAAUAUGUAGUGUAGCGGUGAAAUGCUUAGAUAUUACAUGGAAUACCAAUUGCGAAGGCAGGUUACUACCAGUGGAUUGACGCUGAUGGACGAAAGCGUGGGGAGCGAACAGGAUUAGAUACCCUGGUAGUCCACGCCGUAAACGAUGGAUACUAGCUGUUGGGCGCAAGUUCAGUGGCUAAGCGAAAGUGAUA